AGAUUGAUGGCUUCCAAAGCCAGACCCGAUGCUUUACAACUGUGGUGGAAAAAAACAUACAGGCUUGCCUGAACACCACCAGGGCCGAGUGACUAAUUUGUUUUAUUACAUUGUUUUUCCCUUCUGUUUUCUCUCUGCCUCAGGAAAGUUGUGUUUUUGCUCGUCGACUCAAGGCCUCGAAGACUUUCCCCACUUUUUUCUAUGGCACACAGAGUUCUGCACGUGAACUUCUUGCUGGUUAACUGGAUUGCAUCAAAAUGAUUUCUCUGUGAGGUACUAUUGCUACCAGGAUAUCAAUUACUAUCCUAAUGUGGACAUUUGCUCUGAUAUGCAUAACAAUUGAAAAUAGAAAUAAGCCUCUCAGGGCAAUCAUUUCAAUUCACAGCAAAAUCUCUGCUUCCUUCAUCUAAAUAAAUAGAGUGAGCCUUCAGAACCCACCUGUGCCAGCCUGGCCCUGGGUGAGGAGACACACCAGUUCAUUUGCAAAAAGAACCGUGCGCAGAGCCCUUAGUGCAUAAAAAUCGAUCCUGGGGCCCUGUCACGUGGUCUGUCUUGCUUUAAAGGAGGCAUAACUUUGGGCAAGCCCUGGAAUAUGAACUGAGGUUGAAACCUGCCAAGAAAGAAAGAGGACUGUGAAGUCCUGGACAAGGCAAUGGUAAGUGCUCUCAGACACCGACAGCUCCCAGACUGGCAUGCAUUGCAUAGGACAUCCUGUUGAAUGCAAUCCUAUCCACUCAGCAGUCCUAGGAAGGCAGCAGAUUAUUUUACAAUGGAGAACUUGGAAGCUCAAAGAGGUUAAACAACUUGCCCGGGGUCAUCUGUCCCUGAGCCUCUGAUCAAUACGGUCCGACAGAUGACGUCACAGAUCAUGACACUUUGGAAUCCAUGUGUGUGGAGAUCUAGCCUCACGUUUCCCACAGAUUGGCUUUUAAGGAAUGAGAGGAGUUGUCUUCUGGAGUCUCCCUAGGCAUUGAGGCUCACUUCUGUAAUCCCACGAGGUUCAAAACAUGCCAAGCCUACUAAGGUGGAAAAAGAUUUGUCAGAAAGAUUAGACCUGAACUGAGAUCUUCAGAUUCCACAUAUAUGAGAGAACGUGCACUUCAACAAAGAACAAGAGAUCAUAUUUUGUCCAACAAAGACAGAAGAAAAAUUAUUUCAUUCCAAUGAUAAAAGGCUUCUGAAGAAGAAAUCCAUUCUUCGUUUUGCUUUGCUUUUUAUUCAGUUCCCUAAUAAGGGUUUUUUGGCUGAUUAAUUGAUUGAUGUGGCAAAUAAAUACUAAAGUUGAGCCCUACGUAUCCCCACUCCACCGCCUACCCCGUAUCAUCCCCCGACCAAGCCCCAGCUGCUGUAGCAUCUGUGGGCUCCUCAAGAAGCUGUGUCUGCCUUUAGACACAUUCGAGGUUCACACCCCUUUUCCAGACGCAUCAGCCUAGCUUUGGCACGGAGGGAAUAAUCCAACAGCCAGUAGCUGCCUCCUGUGGGUGCCAAGGGUUGAGUUUGUUUCCUGUCCUUGGCUGAUGUUGAUGAAGGCAUUCCACAGUGGGUGGAUGUGGCUGUGUGAGUGCGUGCAUGUUCCUGUGUGUAUGCAUAUAAGCACAUGGGUGUGUGUGUGCUGGGGGGAGGGAGUGACUGGCAUAUAGUCCGGCAGAGAUAAUGUAUUCAAAUUUUGUUAUGCUUUCAAUGUGCUGCUAUGAUGAGGCAUUUGUAUAGAGCGGGAUUAAUCCAGCUAGGAGCCCUUAUGCAACAACCCAGUGAUUAGGCGUGUCUGGGGACCUGGAUAACAGAGACCCACUUGGACAGCAUGCAGGGAAGCCUGUAUCACACAGCACUGCAACAUACCUUCAUGCUAAUGUCUCACUCCCUACAAUGGGAACACCUGCUAAAAACACCCAAGAUUAGGACAAUGCACCGUCCUACAACAAGUCUCCCUGGCUACCAGAAUGCUGACCAAAAGUAGCAUUCCUGAUCACUCUUAAGCCACAAACACUGCUUCGUGUUUCUUCCUGGCCCCCUAUGUUACUUGACCUUCUGCUACGCAUUGUUGCUUGCGUUGUCAUCUCAAUCCUUCACUCCAACCUGCAUCUGUGCCCUUUGCCCCUUGGCCUUGGGUUUAGCCAUGCAACUUCUGUGACAAAUGAAAUGAAGCAGAAGGGAUGGGGUACCAGUUAUAAGCUCAGGUCCCAAGAGACCCUCUGUGUUUUAGCUUACUCUCGCAAAAGCUCCUACUGAUGCCUUGAAAAGAGCAUUUGUGGGCUAUCCCGCCGGUCCUAGGAGGAAAUAUGAGCCCCUCAUGGGCCCACAGAUGCUUGCCCAGCCAAAUUUGCCCAGCUCAGCUGAUCAGCAGGGGGUGCUGAAACACAGUCAAGGUAGCCAGAGGUAUGAAGGAUCAAGAUGUGUUUAAGAAAACACGAGGGGGCCGGGUGCAGUGGCUCACGCCCGUAAUCCCAACACUUUCGGAGGCUGAGGCGCGUGGAUCAUUUGAGUCCAGAAGUUCGGGACCAGCCUGGGCAACGUGGUGAAAACCCAUCUCUCCAAAAAUUACAAAAAUUAGCUGGGCGUGGUGACACAUGCCUGUGUUCCCAGCUACUCAGGAGGCCAAGGUGGGAGGAUCACUUGAGUCCGGGAGGCAGAGGUUACAGUGAGCCAAGAUUGUGCCAUUGCACUCCAGCCUGGGUGACAGAGCAAGACCCUGUCUGAGGGAAAAAAUAAAUAAAUAAAAAAUAAAAAAGAAGAGACAAGG
rnacentral:lncRNA from 10 species